GAUGAACGCUGGCGGCGUGCCUAAUACAUGCAAGUCGAGCGAACAGACGAGGAGCUUGCUCCUCUGAUGUUAGCGGCGGACGGGUGAGUAACACGUGGAUAACCUACCUAUAAGACUGGGAUAACUUCGGGAAACCGGAGCUAAUACCGGAUAAUAUAUUGAACCGCAUGGUUCAAUAGUGAAAGACGGUUUUGCUGUCACUUAUAGAUGGAUCCGCGCCGCAUUAGCUAGUUGGUAAGGUAACGGCUUACCAAGGCAACGAUGCGUAGCCGACCUGAGAGGGUGAUCGGCCACACUGGAACUGAGACACGGUCCAGACUCCUACGGGAGGCAGCAGUAGGGAAUCUUCCGCAAUGGGCGAAAGCCUGACGGAGCAACGCCGCGUGAGUGAUGAAGGUCUUCGGAUCGUAAAACGCUGUUAUUAGGGAAGAACAAAUGUGUAAGUAACUAUGCACGUCUUGACGGUACCUAAUCAGAAAGCCACGGCUAACUACGU
rnacentral:rRNA from 1 species